rnacentral:lncRNA from 1 species
GGGAUCUCCCAAUCCCCAAAAUCCCGAGGGAUCCACCCCCAAAAUCCCAGGAUUUAUUCCCAAAAUAAACCCCGAGGCUCCUCCUCUCCCAAAUGCUGUUUAUUGGGGGGAUUUUUGGGGGUGGAUCUGGGAAUUCUGGGGGGGGGGGGUUAGGGAAUUCCUGGAAAUUCCAGGAAUUUCUGGAAUUGCCAGGACGGGAAAGGCCCCUGGGGGUCUCCAGGAGGGAUUUUGGGUGGAUUUAAGGCGAAUUCGGGGCGGAUUUGUGAGGCAGCGGGGGGUGCUUCAGGAAUCCUGGAUUUUUGGGGAAUUCCCAGGAUUUUUUGGGGGGAAUUCCCGGGAUUUUUUUUGGGAAUUCCCGGGAUUUUUUUUGGGAAUUCCGGGUCACUUCUGGAACUGCUGGAGCGGGUGUUGCCCCCCGGGGGUCUCCAGGAGGGAUUUUGGGUGGAUUUAAGGCGGAUUCGUGAGGCAGCGGGGGGGUGCUCGGGGAAUCCCAGAUUUUUUGUGGAAUUCCCGGGAUUUUUUUUUGGGAAUUCCGGGUCACUUCUGGAAGUGCUGGAGCGGGUAGNNNNNNNNNNUUUUGGGAAUUCCGGGUCACUUCUGGAAGUGCUGGAGCGGGUAGUGCUCCCCGUAGGUCUCCAGGUGCCGCUCGAGCUCCUCGCGCUGCCGCCGCAGCCGCGGGGGCAUCUCCCGGUAGACGUCGGAGAAGAGGAGGCGGGGCGGCGGCUUCGGCUCCCGCUCCGCCUGCUCGAAGGCCUCCAGCACCUGCGGGCCCCGAAUUCCCGCUUUUCCACACGCAAUUCCCGCUUUUCCACACCCAAUUCCCGCUUUUCCAGACGGAAUUCACGCUUUUCCACACGCAAUUCCCGCUUUUCCACACAGAAUUCCCGCUUUUCCACACCCAAUUCCCGCUUUUCCACACCCAAUUCCCGCUUUUCCACACCCAAUUCCCGCUUUUCCAGCCCGGAUUAUUCCUGACCCCAAAUCCUGUGGAUUUUCACCCAAAACCCCAAUUAUUUCCCCCAAAACCCCGAUUAUUCCCGGCCCCAAAAACCUGCGGAUUUCCCCCCAAAACCGCGAUUAUUCCCAGCCCGAAAACCCCGAUUAUUCCCAGCCCCAAACCCUGCGGAUUUCCCCCCAAAAUCCCGAUUAUUU